UGCAUGGCCGUCGUCAGUUCGUACUGUGAAGCAUCCUGUUAAGUCAGGCAACGAGCGAGACCCACGCCCACAGUUGCCAGCGUACUCUCUGGAGUGACGGGUACACUGUGGGGACCGCCGCUGCUAAAGCGGAGGAAGGAAUGGGCAACGGUAGGUCAGUAUGCCCCGAAUAUCCCGGGCUACACGCGAGCUACAAUGACUGGGACAAUGGGCUCCUACCCCGAAAGGGGAUGGUAAUCUCAUAAACCCAGCCUUAGUUCGGAUCGAGGGCUGUAACCCGCCCUCGUGAAGCUGGAAUCCGUAGUAAUCGCGUUUCAACAUAGCGCGGUGAAUACGUCCCUGCUCCUU
rnacentral:rRNA from 1 species